AAGUAUACAAGAAAUAAAAAUUAAACAAAGGUGCGGUAAUUUAACAUCUCUACAGCUACGGUUGUGAUGGUAAAUUAAAUAAGAGCAUUAAGAAUAAACAAAUAUAUAAGAAAAUCCGAUAUCUGGAAUCUAUUAAAGAAGUUCUCUUUAUAGGUGAAAUUCGACCCUCACACUGUCCGACUACCCUACGUCGAGGAAAUAUACACACACACCAACAUAACACUCACACGAUUGCAAAGAAUCUUCACCUCCACACCACCAAUCACCAAAUACGAUAUAAGUAAACCUUAAUACGUAAGCGAUAAAUUAAUUUCUAAGAAAUUACCGAAAUAAGAAAGUAAAGAGUAGAUGUCGAAACUCAAUAAAGUAAAAAA